rnacentral:rRNA from 1 species
GAGUUUGAUCGUGGCUCAGGAUUAACGCUAGCGGCAGGCCUAAUACAUGCAAGUCGAACGGCAGCACGGGUAGCAAUACCUGGUGGCGAGUGGCGCACGGGUGCGUAACACGUAUGCAAUCUACCUUUAACUGGGGAAUAACCCCUCGAAAGAGGGGCUAAUACCGCAUAACACUUUGAUGGGACAUCCCAAUGAAGUCAAACCUACGGGGGUUAAAGAUGAGCAUGCGUCCGAUUAGCUAGUUGGCGGGGUAACGGCCCACCAAGGCGACGAUCGGUAGGGGAUCUGAGAGGAUGAUCCCCCACACUGGUACUGAGACGCGGACCAGACUCCUACGGGAGGCAGCAGUAAGGAAUAUUGGACAAUGGGCGCAAGCCUGAUCCAGCCAUGCCGCGUGCAGGAUGAAAGUGCUAUGCACUGUAAACUGCUUUUGUUUGGGAAAAACCCCUGGUUUCUACCGGGGCUGAUUGUACCAAAAGAAUAAGGGACGGCUAACUUCGUGCCAGCCGCCGCGGUAAC